rnacentral:tRNA from 1 species
ACCAGUGUGACGUAGUGGUUUGAGUGUUGGACUAUGACUCUGGAGACCAGGGUUUGAGUCCCAGCUCAGCCA